CGCAAUGGUGGCACUGCGCCGUCGGUA
rnacentral:sRNA from 1 species